rnacentral:rRNA from 1 species
UACGAAGGGGGCUAGCGUUGCUCGGAAUCACUGGGCGUAAAGGGUGCGUAGGCGGGUCUUUUAAGUCAGGGGUGAAAUCCCAGAGCUCAACUCUGGAACUGCCUUUGAUACUGGGUAUCUCGAGUAUGGAAGAGGUGAGUGGAAUUCCGAGUGUAGAGGUGAAAUUCGUAGAUAUUCGGAGGAACACCAGUGGCGAAGGCGGCUCACUGGUCCAAUUACUGACGCUGAGGUGCGAAAGCGUGGGGAGCAAACAGG